rnacentral:rRNA from 3 species
UACGGAGGGUGCAAACGUUGCUCGGAAUCAUUGGGCGUAAAGCGCACGUAGGCGGUCCGUUAUGUCGGGUGUGAAAGCCCUCGGCUUAACCGAGGAAGUGCAUUCGAAACUGGCGGACUUGAGUACCGGAGAGGGUCGCGGAAUUCCCGGUGUAGAGGUGAAAUUCGUAGAUAUCGGGAGGAACACCAGUGGCGAAGGCGGCGACCUGGACGGAUACUGACGCUGAGGUGCGAAAGCGUGGGGAGCAAACAGG